rnacentral:lncRNA from 1 species
AUGAAGACCAGUCUUCGAUGCCUGCCAACAGCUUCCAUUUAUAACACCAGGCUCUUAUACCAGCAGCCACCUCAUAUAUCCUGGGCUUACCACGUCUCCAGAUGGCUUCAAGUGGCCGUGCGAGUGACUGAACUGUGCCCUCUAGGUCCAGCUCCUUCCAGUGGAUCCCAACACAGAAAGCGGGUAAAUCGCACUGCUUUCAUAAUGUGGCAGAAAUCCAUGAUGCAAGCCCCUGAUGAGAAGAAAUGCACCAUAGCCACCUAAAUAAAAUGUGAAUGUAUAUGCAACAAAUAUAUUUAACAGCACUUCUUACACUUUUUUAACAAGUACAUUUUUUAAAAAAUCAGGGAAUGCGAUUUUACGACAGAAACGGCCGAGGGUAAGCACGUGAGAGCAAGGCUGACAGUAUUCUGUUUACUUAUUUAACAGUUAUACGGACAUAUCAUAUAAAUGCAUUUCCUCUGUUACGGGAUUCUUUAAGGAUGACGAAUAAAGCAGUCUGAGUUUAAAGAAUGAAAAUGAGC